UAGGGAAUCUUCCGCAAUGGACGAAAGUCUGACGGAGCAACGCCGCGUGAACGAUGAAGGCCUUCGGGUCGUAAAGUUCUGUUGUUAGGGAAGCGGUACCUAACCAGAAAGCCACGGCUAACUACGUGCCAGCAGCCGCGGUAAUACGUAGGUGGCAAGCGUUGUCCGGAAUUAUUGGGCGUAAAGCGCGCGCAGGCGGUUUUUUAAGUCUGAUGUGAAAGCCCACGGCUCAACCGUGGAGGGCAUUGGAAACUGGAGAACUUGAGUGCAGAAGAGGAGAGCGGAAUUCCACGUGUAGCGGUGAAAUGCGUAGAGAUGUGGAGGAACACCAGUGGCGAAGGCGGCUCUCUGGUCUGUAACUGACGCUGAGGCGCGAAAGCGUGGGGAGCAAACAGGAUUAGAUACCCGAGUAGU
rnacentral:rRNA from 1 species